rfam:Medicago truncatula strain A17 chromosome 4, whole genome shotgun sequence.
AAACAGUCUUAUAUGUAUUGUAUCUUUGACAGUUUUGGCCUCCAAUAUCACUUUUGGUUUAGUCUUCGUUGACGUGACACCCACAAUGGUCGACUUGUGGCACCUUACUUAAGGGAUGUGGGUGCCACGUCAGCGAAGACUAAGUCAAAAGUGACAUUGAGAGCCAAAACUGCCAAAGAUCCAAUACAUAGGGGGUUGUUU